UGGAGACCAGCCUAGGCAACAUUGAGAAACCCUGUCUCUACAAAAAAUUAGCCGAACGUGGUGGCAGGUGCUUGUAGUUGUAGCUGUAGCCUCCUAGCUACUCAGGAGGCUGAGGUGGGAGGAUUGCUUGAGCCUAGGAGGGGGAGGUUGCAGUGAGCCAGCCUGGGUGACAGAGUGAGAUCCUGUCUCAAAAAAAAAAGUCUUCAUCUAAUACGGUGAAAGAUGGAAGGGGAUGUGGUUACUCCUGCUCCAGUUGGAUUUGUUUUCUCCAUUUAGAAGCUGCUUUCAGAGCAGUAAUGACACCUGAGUUUAGAAAACAGUUCCCUGUGUCUGUGCAUCUUCCAGCUCAGUGUCCUAUGUCACCUGUCCUGAGACAUUCCAAGAAGGAAGACCAAAAGACAGCAUUCUUGAGCUAUUCCAAAGAGAUCACAGAGGCCACCACCAAAGAGAAGACUAAGAAUCUACCAUAGUUUGCCCCGGCCCUCCCAAUCCUGAGGAGAUUAACUGAGAGUCCAGCACCUUCUAAAGGUCUGAAUAGGAAACAGUUGUCAUCUGUUGUCUCUAAGGGCAGCCACUAUGAGACUUCAAAAGAACCUCAGUCUCCACAAUCUUUUAUCUGAACCUGAAUAUUUCCUUUCUAUUGAUCCCAGGUCUUUAGACAAACUCAACCAAUUGGCAGCCAGAAAAUGUUUAAGUUUAUCUGUAGCCUGAAAGCCCCCAUCCCCAUUCCUUUUGAAUUGUCCCACCUUUCUCCACCAAACCAGUGUAUUUCUCAAAUGUAUUUGAUUGAUGUCUCAUGCCUCCCUAGAAUGUAUAAAACCGAGCUGCACCCUGACCAUCCUGGGCAUAUGUUCUCAGCACCUCCUGAAGGCUGUGUCACGGGCCAUGGUCAUUCAUAUUUGGCUCAGAAUAAAUAUCUUCAGAUAUUCUACAGAGUUUGACUGUUUUCGUCCACACAAGACCAGAGGGGAUGCUCCCAGCCAUCACCUUUGAGAUGAGGCUGCGUCAUGUAAUAAACAACAUCUCUGAUAUGUUUUCAGCAGAUGAACCAGUGUUUUACAGAACUGCUUCCCACACUGUUAGGUAGAUCAUCACCGGAAGCCCACUGCAGUAACAGCAGUUCUGUGAGGAGGUGGAACUGUGUGUUCCAGCUCUCUGCGAUUCUGCUUUGUAUCCUCAGGAAGAUUUUAGAAUGGCUGGAAAAUCCAUAAUUUAUACUCAUUCCUACUUGCUUGGGUUUUAUAACACAAUCACAACUGUCCUCUCAUUUCAUCCUCAGAAACCUCUCUGAGACAGGGAUUAUUAAAACUGUUUUACAGAUUUAGAAACUGAAUCCAAG
rnacentral:lncRNA from 1 species